rnacentral:ncRNA from 1 species
GUCGAGAGGGUGAGGAAUACAACACCCCGUAACAGGGGGAAUAACUCCAGCCUAUCUUGUGGGGGGCUUUCGAACCUCUCGACCGCCCAAU